GAUGAACGCUGGCGGCGUGCUUAACACAUGCAAGUCGAACGAUGAAGCCCAGCUUGCUGGGUGGAUUAGUGGCGAACGGGUGAGUAACACGUGAGUAACCUGCCCUUAACUCUGGGAUAAGCCUGGGAAACUGGGUCUAAUACCGGAUAGGAGUGCCUACCGCAUGGUGGGUGUUGGAAAGAUUUAUCGGUUUUGGAUGGACUCGCGGCCUAUCAGCUUGUUGGUGGGGUAAUGGCUCACCAAGGCGACGACGGGUAGCCGGCCUGAGAGGGUGACCGGCCACACUGGGACUGAGACACGGCCCAGACUCCUACGGGAGGCAGCAGUGGGGAAUAUUGCACAAUGGGCGAAAGCCUGAUGCAGCGACGCCGCGUGAGGGAUGACGGCCUUCGGGUUGUAAACCUCUUUCAGUAGGGAAGAAGCGAAAGUGACGGUACCUGCAGAAGAAGCACCGGCUAACUACGUG
rnacentral:rRNA from 1 species